GUCUCCUCCAAUUCGCUAAACAGCGUUAACUUAUUCACGCGACGGCUAACUUCAUUUGGGUGCCUUCGAAGCUCUUCAAAUUCAUCUCGAAGAUGCUUCAAAGCAAAGUCUAUCUCACUGACGACUUCGAAAUCCUUAAUUAACUGUAAGUGUCUUCGACUGAUUUAUAGACGAAGUAAUCUAUAUGUAUACAUCAUGCAGCUAUUUCAAUUAAGG
rnacentral:lncRNA from 1 species